UUCAGUUCGGACGGUUCGGUUACUAUACUGAUAAGCCCACAAUGCAGGGGAUUUCUAACUAGCUGUCCAUUGGCCCAAUUUUGCAACAGUAAACUUUUUUUCUUUUUCCUUUUUUUUUACACUUAAAUUUGAUGGCCUAUUUGAAUUUUAUUUUUUUUUCAUCUUUAUGAGAUGUAAGUCACCUUAAAAAUUUAGUACCAUGUAAUUUCUUUCCCUCGGUGAAAAAUUCUUUUCUUUUUUUAUAUACUAUGUACUAGUAUAUAAAUUUCCUCCCUUUCUAAAUAUAAGUAGUUUCUAUUUGACUUAUUAAACUUGUUUAUCUUAGUUGUUGUCAUUUUUUUAAUAUCCGUACUCCAUCUAUCAUAUAAUCCUCCAACAUUAAAGUAACACUCCGUACUUGUUAUGGGGUAGUUUCUACUAGUACUAAUAAUACAAUAAUCAUUAAAGAUAGAGUAGUAUUGACAAUGAAAUUAAUUUGUUAUUAAGGGAGGAUGUAGAAGCCAAAUUGAAUUUGAGUACAAAGAGUAUGGGCACAUUUUAUGGGUGCAAUCAUAAGCAAGUAGUUAUAAAUUACAAAGUAUAUUAAUAAAUUUAGAUAUAUGCAUAAUAAUUAUCCUCUGCUUUUUUUUUUUUAGGAAAUAAUAAUUAUGCAAUAUCUAUCUUCAUUAUAUUUAUAGUUUUCAAUGAUGAAAAUGCAUGGGUUAUGGGUUUAUACAUCGCUCAAAUCAAAGCAUAUUCUCUUAUCAAGUACGUUUUAAUCCUAUCUUUGUUACGUUGGUCUUGUCUUGCGGCGUUACACGUGAAAGUAGCCUCCUAUCACGUUUCCUUGCUUUAUGCCAUUCUUUCCUCUGUCUCAGGAGCUCAACUAUUGAUGAUCAUAAAUGUUGAAGAAAGCAAAACAAAGAAUAGAGGAAGGAACAUCGGAGGAAUCUAAAGAGAAGCACAUGGUGGGGCCCGGCGGUGGGGAGGAGUAACAUUGAGUUGCGUCAUCCACCACCACAGUUGACAGAAUGACAGUAUAACCUCUCUUUGCUUUUCCUCAAAAGGUCUUUUAUUUAUUGCUUCAUCCCUAAAUCAUAAUCUUAAUCAAAACUUUCUACUUGCGUGUCAAUUUCUAAUUGCCAUUUUUCAAGUUGCAUUAUACGAAGUACUCCUAAAAACUUGGUCGUGGUACUACACAUUUACCACCACUCUCUAACUCUCUAGUACGGAGUACUACACUCCACUUACGUGUUAUGAACUUAUGAUUUACGAGCACUCUCUUUAGGUCCUUCGUUUCAUUAUAAUUGUCUUUGUAAAAAAACGUAAUUUUAUAAUUAGAUAAAGUUAAUGCGAGAAAAUUUGAUGGAAAUAAAAUAGUUUAUGUGAGAAUAUUAUGGUUCUCUUAUGUUUUUGUAGCAUGGGGCAAACUUCGUGAAAAAAGAGAAAAUAAAAGGAGAUAUGAUACAUACAAUAAUUCUGUUUAGUCUUUACCUCCACAAUGUCUAGUAGGCAGUACUAGUUUACCAUACAUACAUUCAUUUCUCCUCCAUUCAUUUAGUGUCUUGGGACACCUUUUGUCUAGUUUUAAUAUUCCACUUUAAAUCAUAUUGUCACAUUCUAACUGACUUACCUAUCUUCUAUAAUUCUACUACUUCAUAACUCAUAUGUUGAUACCUUUACUUUAACAAGGGGUAGGGAUUUGAAUCCAUGAUAUAAUUAUACACAGGUUCUUAAUUAUAACCAUCAGAUCAAGACCUCAUCAAUAUAUAUUAUUAUAGAAAACAAAGUAUAUUGUUACAAACUUACAAAAAUAUUAUAAAUAAUUGGUCUAAUUAAGUAGUCCGUAUUUUACUAUUUUGUAAUUGGCUGUGACAUGAAAGAAAGGUUAUUGUUGAGCCCAUGAACAACCCACAUGUGAGCAUUCUCUUGUCCUACACUAAACACUAAAAGGGGAGUGUAGUGGUAAUGAAAUCCCACAUUGAAAGAAUUCAAGAGUUACCACCACUAUAUAAGGCUAAGGGGCUAUUCCUCUCAUUGUCAUAUGGUUUUGAGGUGGAACCUCCUUGGUCUUGUAAAAGUGGUGGACUUGCACUCUCCCGUGACGGGUGCGGCCCAGACCCGUAUUUAACCGUUAUCAUUAUUUACACAUUUUUAUUUGGUGCCCAAAAAAAAAAAAAAAAAAAAAAAAAAAAAAAAAGG